CUCAUGGUGUAGGGGUGAAAUCCGUUGAUAUCAUGGGGAACACCAAAGGCGAAGGCAGCAAGCUGGUACCUACCUGACACUGAAACACGAAAGCGUGGGGAUCGAACGGGAUUAGAUACCCCGGUAGUCCACGCCCUAAACGAUGAUCACUAGCUUUUCGGAGUAUCGACCCUCUGAGAGGCGAAGCUAACGCGUUAAGUGAUCCACCUGGGAAGUACGGCCGCAAGGCUAAAACUCAAAAGAAUAGACGGGGACUCGCACAAGCAGUGGAUCAUGCGGUUUAAUUCGACGCUAAACGAAGAACCUUACCAGGGUUUGAAACCCAAAUGAAAGCCCAGCGAAAGUUGGGACCUCUCACAAGGACAUUUGGGCAGGUGAUGCAUGGCUGUCGUCAGUUCGUGGUUUGAAUUGUUCCCUUAAGUGGGGUAACGAACGCAACCCUUAUUGUCUGUUAUAUUUGUCAGACGAGACUGCCCGCCCUAGGCGGGAGGAAGCGAGGAUGACGCCAAGUCAGCAUGUCCCUUUGACAUCCUGGGCUACACGCAUGAUACAAUCGCCGUUACAAUAGGUCGCGACGGGGAGACCCUGAGCUAAUCCUAAAAGGCGGCGCCAGUUCGGAUUGAGGUCUGCAACUCGACCUCAUGAAGCCGGAAUUGCUAGUAAUCGCAGGUCAGCUAUACUGCGGUGAAUACGUUCUCGAGUCUUGUACUCACAAUAAAAGCGCACAGCAGCUUU
rfam:Candidatus Vogelbacteria bacterium RIFOXYD2_FTLL_44_9 rifoxyd2_full_scaffold_2066, whole genome shotgun sequence.